rnacentral:tRNA from 1 species
AAAAAUAUAGUAUAAUUAAAUACAUUUCACUUACACUGAAAAUAUGCUGAAAUAUUAGCUAUUUUUA